rnacentral:lncRNA from 1 species
CCAAAAGCUCCGAGGCUCCAGGGUGAGUGUGCAUCGGGAUAACCCCACCCACGGCUAGGUCCAACCUCGCAAUGGAUAUUCCGAGCCCAUUGACACCCGGAAACUGAGCAGUGAAUGCCGGAGUGACAGCAGCUUUGAUGAGGUUGGUGGUGUUUCCGGCUUUACCAAUCCCGGAGUAAACAAAAUCAGCUUCUGUUACUUUCUUGGGGUCUUUGCAUGGGAAGCCGGAAGGGGUAUCCGAUUGUUUCAAAUCGGCUACACAGAAGUCCUGAACUGAUGCAAACGAUGACACAAAGAGAAGAGAAAACAUAAGAAGACUAGGGAUCAACAUUUUGAUAGAAUGUUUGAUUUGGAGUAUGUAUGUUUUUGUGGGUGUUUGUAAUUGAGGUAGAAGAUGAGAGUUAUAUAGAAGGAGAUAGGAUAAUGGGCAAUUCGGGUAUGGCCAUGCAUGCAAGGGCCUCACGUGAAUGGGGUACCAACAAUUAAGAAAGAAAAGCCACAAUUUUUUUGUUUAUUGUGCAUGUGACUGUAAAGUCGUCAUACGAGAAUACAAUUCCUUUAAUGCAGUACAUACCCUGCCCAAAAUAUCAAACAAUCUAUAGGAUAUUUAUCAUUUUAUCGUCCACCCAUUGUCACACCCUUGAGGAUUACAUAGAUAGAAGAUUCAACCACAGUCAUCUUAUAAACUAUCUUGACAAUGUCUUAACUAGUUAACCAAAGUCUAUUUGAGCUUAAGGCUAUAUAUCUUUGGGAGACUUCAGGAAACUGUUAACUAAAAAACUAAUUUUUAGAUGAUAAAAAAUUAUAUUUAUUAAAAAUUUAUCCAAUAAGCUAGCGGAGAAAUAAAUUGACACAAAAGGAAUGUAGAAAAUGAUUCCAUAUUAUAAAACUAGUAUGUAAUACAUUACAUUAAAUAAAUUACUUACUAAAUACUAAUAGUCUCUGAUUAUUUACGUUGAAGUGAAAUUUCUUGCAUUUCAUGUUAUAUUCGUAAUAUUAUCAUGAAUUUAUCGCAUCUCACUGACUGAUUCUUCAUUUGUGUGCGUCUAUGUGGAUUCUAUUCUGUUAAAAAGCAUAGCAAUAUUAGUUUAUCAAGAAACUUUGUUGAAAAAAAAAACAAAACAAAAACAAAAGAAUAAUAAUAAUAAAACUAUUAUCACGGUUGUCAAAUACACAUUACAAAACCAGCCAACAUGCUAUCAACCAAACCAAAAAAGUUGGUUGUCAAUAUAUUUGAUAAUAAUCAAUAUGUUUGGUUGGUACUACUGUACCAAUUCUGUAAAUUUAGACAUUUGGUACGUUAAUAGUAUUAAAUUUUAAGUACAACAGUAUUACUGUACCAACGAUAAUAUAUANNNNNNNNNNNNNNNNNNNNNNNNNNNNNNNNNNNNNNNNNNNNNNNNNNNNNNNNNNNNNNNNNNNNNNNNNNNNNNNNGUUAACAUUAACUAAAAAGUUAUUUCAAAGUUAGUUAAUAAAAUUUAUUAGUAACUAAAAUAGUUAUUUUACUAAUUUAUAUUGAUAAAGAAAAUUAUUUCAUGUCAUUGAUGGUCUUAACUAUUACAAUUACAAAUUAGAAAAAAAAAAUGGUAAUGUAUCAUUACCAAUUUACAUCAACAAAACGUGUUGGUAGCCAAACAAGUUAGUAUAUUGGCAUGAUACUUAUAGCAACAUUUUUAUACCAACUGAAAUGUAUAAAAGGUAUGAUACAUGUUUUAAAUAAAAAUAAAUUGGUUGAUCCCUUAAUUACUAUAAAAGUUUAUUCACAUUGUUUGUAAAUUUACAAGUAAUGACAUACGGAGCCUUUUCACAAUUUUAAUUUUAUUAAAUUUGUUAUCAUAGUGUUUUUUAUAAGCACGAUAGACAUCUUGAGCUAUUUCAUUUAAUUUUACCAACACCAUAUAAUACAAAUUGCAGAUAGUCAUCAACUAAAUGUCGUGGGAAUUAAUUAGUCCGAGACACAUGAGAAUAGCCAAUGUUUUAAAUACCGGUUUUCUAAUUGAACCGGUCGGGUGACGUUUUCCGGUUCAACCGGUUUAACCGGUCCAACCGGAUGGUCAAACCGGCUCUAUAUUUUUAUAUGUUUUUUAAUUAUCCUACAUACAUUGAUUACAAAACUUGUUAUUUUUUUAGUAUUACAAACGUAAAUAGAAUGCAACAUAUAAAAACAAUCAUUAUAAAUGUCAAAAUCAAACAAAGAAGUCAAAACAAACACAAAAAUCCAAAAAUGUCUGGUUCAACCCGGUCCAUUCCGGUUCAAUUCAGCCGGUUGAACCGGUUUUUUUACCAAAAUCGGCCGGUUCAAUCCGGUCAGAAAAUCAUUAUAAAACCGGUCAAAAUCGAACCGCCCUCACCUCCGGUUCCCAGUUCGACCGGUUCAACCGGCCGGUUUGAACCGGUUUUUAAAACACUAAGAAUAGCAGAUGAUUAUGAAGAAGAUGAUAGACAACGACGGCGAUAUAUUUAGUUUCUCAUGUUUCCAACAUAAUUUUUUUUUAAACGACAAAAUAUAGUAAAGCAAAAAAGGCCACCGCCUAAGAGAAACUAGACGGGGCAAACAAACAAAAACAAAAGUUAAAAAAUAUUGAAAGGACAACAACACCAAUUACCCCAAUUGCAAUUCUUAUAAUUGUCCCUAUAUGUGACCUAAUUAUACACCAUAAUGAUGAUAUUAUCGUUGUUUUAGAAGAAGAAAGAGGAAUUUUUUUUUGAAGAGCUUAUCAUUCUUAACUUUCUAAACGUCCCAGAGAAAACCAUUAAAGAUGGCAAUUAAGAUCAUCCGUUUUCCGGGACAGAAUUUUGAAAAGUUAUCAGCAAUUUUGAAAGUUAACGAUAAUAAGUAUAUUAAUUAAAAGAGAAAUCAAAUCUACUUUUUUUUUGUUAUCUAUCUUCUUAUUUAUUAGAUCGGGGCUAAUAUUAAAAUUAAAAUUUAAAAUUAAUGAAUUUUAUAUGUCAUUAUUUUAUCUAAAAAGAAAAAUCUUUAAAACAAAAAGCAAGAUAUUUAAUUUUUCUAGUUAAAAAGAUGGAAUAUUCUUUUGGUAAAUUCCAUGUGAAGAUAAGCUAAGAGAUAUUUUAAAGAAAAUAUCAAAGCAGCAUAUGGACCAAGCAUGGCAAAAGACAUUUUUUGACAACCAGAAAGAUCUACAAGCAAAAGCAACUUUUGUCAUUUUGGAAGACGUACAUUCAAAAGAAAUUGUGUGGAUCUCGUACGUUGCCUAUCCUUUUGGGCAUAUCCGUUAGUGUAAAACUGCAAAAAACCUGUAUAUUCUGUUAUUUAUAAGAGGGAUGUGCAUCAAGCCAAGUUGCCAUUUUUAUAUCGUUUAUCAAUUUAGAGUAAACUGUUCCAAGACUAUUACAUUAAACUAGUUGAGGUGUAUAAUUUCAUAAAUGUUCAAAUCUUAUAUAUGCCUAAUAUAUAGUUAGUGUUAGUCUUAUACUCCUCCGUCUCAAAAUUAUUGUCCGGAGAAAAAAAAAAUAUACCGAUUAAGAAAACAUUAAUUACUAUUAACUUUAUUAAAUGAAAUGAUAGUCUUAUCCUUUUGUUAUAUUUAAUUUCAUUGUAAUUGCAUUUAAUUUCAUGGUAAUUUAACUAAUAAUGAUAGUAUUUUGGUAAAAAAAUAUAUAUUUAUUUUUAAAAUAGACUAUUAUUUUGUGACAAACUAAUAAGAAAACAAGAACUAAAAAUAUUUAAAAAAAAAUAAUUAGAAUAUCUAAAUAGUAAAUAUUAUGUGAUUUUUUUAGCCAACUUAUUUUCAAAUUAAACAAUAAAGUUCAUAUAUGGGCCGUUUUCCCUAGGCUAUCACUGAUGGCUCAUUAAAAAGGACACAUGAUCCAAAGAAAUAAGCCCACGUUAAUUCUUUUGGACAUAACACAUAGUUUCAGUACUCUUGUAAAUCAAAUUUGAAAGCCCAAGAAAGCUAUAAGGUUAUAUUCACAUUACCACAGCAAAUCUUGCAAGGGGUUUGCUUUGUCAAGAAUUGAGCACACCCUAAAUAAUAGAGUAAAUUACACGAAUGGUCCCUAUGGUUUGGGGUAAUUUGUAUGUUUGGUCCCUAACUUAUUUUUUUAACUCGGAAGGUCCCUAUGGUUUGUUUUUGUUACGCCUUUGAUCCCUACUGUUUAUUUUUGUUACGCGUUUGGUCCUUGUCUUAUCUAAAAAGACUAUUAUUUAAAGAGGAAAAAAUGGUGGGGUAGGUGAGGUAAGGUGAGGGGGUGGGAUUAGGGAUGUGCUUAUUUAAAUAAAUUAAAAAAAUCAAGGGCAUAAUAGUCUUUUUAGGUAAGAUAGGGACCAAGCGCGUAACAAAAGCAAACAGUAGGGACCUUCCGAGUUAAAAAAAUAAGUUAUGGACCAAACGCGCAAAUUACCCUAAACCAUAGGGACCAUUCGUGUAAUUUACUCUAAAUAAUAAUAAAAAAUAAUAAAAAAAUUAAAAAACUUAUAAACACACAGAUUUCCAACUUGAACGGUCUUUUUUUUCUCUUUUUUGCAAUUUAUAUAUUAUUAGUUUUAAAUUUAUAAACCUAACCUAUCUAAUUAACUAAUUGUACUUAAAGAGUCUGUCUAAUCAAUUUAUAUAACGGUUUAUGUAAGUCGGAUGUCGAACAUAGGGAAUGUAAUUUUAAUUUAAAAUCUAACUAUUAAUAAUUAAACUAAAAAAUAACUUGAGAUGGGUUUUUUUACUGAUUUUGCAAGCUCAUUAACUUAAUUCAAUCAAUUAUUAAAACAUAAACAAGCAAAGAAAACGAUUUGAAUUCAAUAUUAAUUAGUACUAUCGUUAGAUCCAAAUUUUCCCCUUUCCCUAUGGUUAUUUCUAUUGAAUUACUUAUGUUGGUUACCAAAUUAUUAUAUAACCAGUUAUUAUGAUUAAAUUCUUAGUUGUUACCAAUUUAUUACUUACUAUGUAAUGAUCAAACGCAAGUAAACACGAAAUUUAUAUAAAGAUAAAUUUGGCUAUGCACGAUAAAUCUAAAAGUUACUUUCCUAUAAUCAAGUCAAGAAACCAAACACAAAUUAUGAAUCAAUUAUUCUAUCUAACACAGUUAAACUUACUAACUUCAAUUACCUAACUCUAGCAUUUAAUGAUCAUAAACAACUAGAUAACAAAUUCAUGCAAAUAGAAUGAUCAUCUACGACACUAAGCUUGUAAAAAGGCAAUUUAAAGCUAGAACAUAGAUAUGUAAGGAUUACAAUUUAUCAACACUAGAAAAACCAACAUUGCAAUAUUAACCCUAAAAAUUAAAACAAUAUACAAAACAAUCCUGAUAGUAAAAGAUGUUAGGUAAGGAGUGAUAAAAUAAAUAUUUUUUCAACACCCCCGUUCAAACUUAAUAUCUAGAUAAUCCUGACCGUUACUAAAAUGAUCUGCAAGUCUAAUUCUUUUGAAAGAAAUUUAUGUUGUAAACUAAUCAAUGAUGUAGUAAGAAUAUCUGGAUUGAUUAGAAGAGAUAAUCUUAAUAUGUUUUAAAAUACUAUUCAUAACAUUUUCUCUAAUAAAAUGCAGAUCUAUCUUAAAGUGUUCAAUUUUUCAUAAAAUACAAGAUGUUGAACAAUUUUGAUUGCAAAAUUGUUUCAUAGAAAACAUUAAUUGUAACGUCCCAAAAUUUAAGACUAAAAAUUUCAUUUUUAUAAUAAUAAAACCAUCCUCCAAGACAUUUUCAUCAAAACCAUAAUGAAAUCAGAGUAUAUCAAUAAUCAUACAGUUACAUCAGAGUCAAAUAAAAUGCCGAAUAAUAUGGUGUGUGCGAUGCAAUCAUCCCGAGCUCUUCCCAUUCGAUCCGGAAGUACCUAAAACAUACAAUGAAAAUCGUAAGCAUGAAGCUUAGUGAGUUCCCUAAGAUACCUCAUAUCAUGCAUAUCAAACAUACAAUGGGCCAUCCCCAACACCCAUCGGGCCCCGCCCGACAUCGAGCCCUGCUCAGAACAGAUCUGUUAAAAAUAUGAGAUGGGUCCCGCCUCAUCACAUUCAUCAAGCCCCACUUGGCAUCGAUUCCUGUCCGGAAUUCAUACAGACACAUAAAACACAUGCAAGAAUCACUAAGAUAAUUAGCAUACAAUACAUUCAUCAGGCCCCACCUGGCAUCGAACCCCGCCCGGUAUACAUAUCACAUAACAUACAUGCAAGAGUCACACAAAAAACUAACAUUCUAAUCAUAAUAAACCAUGGGCCGAUAUUGUUGCCUUCGACCUGCCAAGUAGAGUGAGGAAACUCACCUCAAGCUAUUAAAUAUCUCACAUAAAAACUCGGACUGCUGAUCUGGAAAAUCCUCGCGCUAGCACCAUCAAAUAAUACCUAAUUAAUAAUCAGUCCACAACCCAUAACUUGGAAUUCUAGUCCAAUUUUCCGACCCUCAGGGUAAAAGACCAUUUUACCAUUUCCUUACUUGGCCCUAAAAUCCAAGGCCCAAUUCAAUAGUACCAAAAAGUCCAAUAUAGCCCAAUGCUCUAAAAGUUUCCCAAAACCCAUUAUGGGCGCAAACACUAGAAGGCCCAGAGCCCAGCAAUGCCUAAAGUGAAAAGGGUUGAUAGCCCAACAACGCCCAAACUCCAUUAGCCCGAAAAAAACCCAAAGUCGCAAAAGCCUAAACCAGGCCUAGUACGUUGUUCAUACCAGACAUAUACCCGACGUACUAGGUUGCAUGCAUGGUCGCGGACACGGGCGUGUACGCAUGGCGUACUCUUGAGUACGCCCAGCAUACGUGCCUAUUAAGCACUUUUUUCUUAAGUGCUUAAUACUUGCAUUACAACAUCCAAAUUUCAAAUCCAUGUCUAAAUGAACGUCUUAAUCUAUAAAUUUGAAGCCUUUAAGCCUUUGCAUGGCUAAAAAUGCCCCAAAUUCAAAUCUAGCAUUUUAACUCCAUUAAGAAGAACGUCAACCUUUCAUGGUUGAGCUAAACCCAUCAAGCUAUUAUUUUUAUGUAUAAGGGACCUCAGAAAAGCCAAGAUCUAUCAUCCCAAGCUUCUGGAGUAGCCCAUACUCUCAAGCAUGGCUUAAAGGACCCAAAAACACACAAAGAAAGCCCUUAACUAGAUCUAUCAUAAAGAACCAUCAAGUUAGGAGCUUUAUACCUCAAAUAGCUUGCAAAGUUGAUGAUGAUUCUGGAUCUUAAAGCUCCAAGUCCACCAAACCUUCACCACCAAGCUUCACUUUCUUUAAGAGACCCAUAAACACCACAAGAUCACACAAAGGCUCACAAAAUCUCAAAUAAGGGCUAAGGUUUCUUUCUUAGGGUUUGGAGAAGUAGAGGCUGACCAUAAGAAUCUCCCAAAGCAACAUAAGUUGACUAAAUAGGGCAUAAACCCUUAAAACUAGUGUUUGCCCUUGAUGAGCAUACGCCCAAUGUAUGUGGGUGCCUCCGAGUCCAACCAUCGAUCCAGUACGCCUAACGUACUCACAGAGUACACUCAACGUACUCGGUUAGGGACCAAAAUGAAAGGAAUUUACAAUGAAGGGAUAAAAGGGAAAAACCUGAAAUGCAGUGUUACAUUAUGUGACAUCUCUAAUUUCACAACCAAAAAAGACCGAUUUGUUUAUGCUUUAUUUGAAAAUUAGCUACGAAAUUUGCUUUACUAGGGUGGUAAAGUAUCUCGUAUUCGUAAUCCUUGAGUAACUCUAGCCAGCGUCGUUGCCUCAUAUUCAAUUCCUUUUGAUCAAAGAGAUAUUGGAGACUUUUUAUGAUCAGUGAAGAGUUUGCACUUUGUGCCAUAUAGAUAAUGCCUCCAUAUCUUUAAUGCGAAUACUACCGCUGCCAACUCUAGAUCAUGAGUGGGGUAGUUCUUCUCGUGCUUUUUUAAUUUUCGAGAUGCAUAUGCUAUCACUUUAUUUCUCUGGGUCAGAACACAACCUAACCUAACUCCAGAUGCAUCGCUAUAGACAGUGAAGUCUUCAACUCCGUCAGGUAAAGAAAGAAUUUGUGCUUUACACAACUUCAUCUUUAAUUUCUCGAAUGAUUCUUCAUGUUUCUCACUCCAUGUAUAGGUAGAUCCUUUAUGGGUCAAAGUUGUUAAUGAUGCAGCUGUCGAAGAAAAGCCUUGGAUAAAUCUUUGGUAAUAUCCAACUAAUCCCAUAAAGCUUCAAUUCUCGGUGGGACUUUUUGGUCAUUCCCAUUUCAUCACAACUUCAAUAUUUAUUGGGUCAACCAUUAUUCCCUCUUUGUUAACCACAUGACCCAAUAAAUGGACUUCUUGAAUCCAGAAAUCACAUUUGGAGAACUUUGCAUACAACUUCUCCUUAUUUAGAACUUCUAAUACUUCUCGCGGGUGCUUUUCAUGCUCCUGCUGGCUCUUUGAGUAAAUCAGAAUGUCAUCUAUGAACACUAUCAUAGAUUUAUCGAGGAAUGCUUUACAAACUCUGUUAAUCAAAUCCAUAAAUGUUUUUGGAGCAUUGGUUAGUCCAAAUGACAUAACCAAGAACUCAUAGUGUUCGUAUCUUGUUCUGAAUGCGGUCUUCUCAAUAUCUUGUUCUCUCACCUUCAGCUAAUGAUAUCCUGACCUGAGAUCGAUUUUUGAGAAAUAACUUGAACCUUGCAGCUGAUCGAACAGGUCGUCAAUCCUUAGCAAUGGAUACUUGUUAUUUACUGUUGCCUUGUUCAACUCUCUAUAGUCUAUGCACGUCCUCAUGCUUCCAUCCUUCUUCUUCACAAAUAACAUUGGAGCUCUCCACGGUGAUGAACUAGGUCUAAUGAAACCGUUGUCCAAAAACUCCUGAAGUUGCAUCAUAAGCUCCUUCAUCUCUAUUGGUGCUAACUGGUAUGGUGCUUUCACUAUUGCUUUCGAUCCUGGCAACAAGUCGAUUCAAGACUCUACUUGUCUAUUAGGGGGCAAUCCAAGAAGAUCUCCGAGAAAGACUUCCGGAUAGUCACACACCACUGGUAUUCUUUGUAUCUCUUUCUUUUCCUUCUUUGCAUUGAUCACAAAUUCCAAGUAUGAUGUGCGUCCUUUGAACAAACACUUUUUGGCUUUCAUCAGGAAAAUGAUUCCAAAAUUCACUCUAUGUUUGUCCUUGUACACCAUAAAUGACUCUUUUUUAGGUGGAUUUACUCUCACCAUAUUUUUCUUACAUAGUAUAUCGGUAUCGUUCGCACUAAGCCGAUCCAUUUUCUAGUACAAUGUUGAAAUCAUUUAACUCAAUGGGCAACAACUCCUCGCGGAAUUUAUUCCCACUCAAGUUGAUGAUGAUGUUUUCAAUGCAAUCGCUAACAGUUAUGAAUUUGCCACUGGCAAGUUCUACAACUAGAGCAUUAUCAAGUUUAUCUAUAGGCAAUGCUAGUCUUCCACCAAAUUUGUGAGAUAUAAAGGAUUAAUUUUCUCCAGAGUCAAACAAUAUAUUGGCUGUUAAUCCAUUUACGAGAAAGGUACUUGAAGCGACAUAUGAUUCAUCCAUUGCUGCUUCUAGGGUCAUCUGGAAUGCUCUUGCUUUUGGCCUUGGCGGAAUAUUAGGCCUUGCUACCUCCUUCUUCUUCGGGCAGUCCCUAGAAAUAUGCCCUUCUUUGUUACAUCCGAGACGCACCUUAUUGUUGAAUGUGCACUCAUAGGCGUAAUGCCCAGACUUUCCACACUUGAAAUAGGUUACCUCCUCGCUAGAUUUUCCAAAGUAUUUCUUCUUGCACUUAUCGCACCAUCUUGCUUCACCUCCUCCUCCUCCGAACUUCUUCGAACCAGACUCUGAGAAUUUUCUCUUCUUGUUGGACCUUGAAGAUCCUUCAAACUUUCUCUUCUCGCCAACUUCAACCUUGUUGGUGUCUCUACUCUUUAUCAUCUCCUCAAAUGAAUUAGCAGCCCAGAUGGCCGCCUCAAGAGUAGGUUUCUGGCAUACUGGCACAACAUACUCCCAUGGUAGUCCCUUUGUAUACUUAUCGACUUUCGUUAGUUUAUUAGGGACGAUGCACAAACCAAACUCCAUCUUGUCUGUGAAGGCAUUGGUAUAAUCGUCAAUGGAUAUGUUGCCCUUCUUCAAUGUAAGAAAUUGGUUUUCUAGUUCCAACAUGUUUUGGGUUGAGAAGAACUUGCGUUUAAAGUGGACCAAGAACUUUUCCAAUGUCAAUUGUAGUGGCUCAUUAGGACUUAUGGUCUUCCAAGGUGUUCCACUAGCGAACAGUACCACCUCUAAACUAACGCACUAAAUAAGUGGUUUGUAGCUUACCCUUUCAACCACAAGUUAUGAAAGCUAGCUUAAUUUCAGAGAUCUAGACCACAACUUCGAUUAGAUCUACUUUCCCAGUAAAAGUUGGUGGUUUGCAAGUCAUGAAGUCUUUGUAGUUGCAUCCAUUUCUUUCAAUCCCUUCGUCUUGGUUAUUUCUUCUAACCACUGGUGUUUCAUCUUGGCCAAUGGUUUUACUAUAGUUUCCUUCUUCUGACUGACCCUCAUUCAGCUCAGGUUGUUCAACAGCCACAGUAGGUUCAUCCAUAUUCUGUUGAAGUAGACACCUUGUCUCUUCCAUCUGACGAUCCAACAUCUUUUGAAUCAUUUCUUGUACUCCUGCCAUAGUGAUUGGCUUGGGUGCAGCCACUACCUCUGGUGCAUGCUCAAUCACAGGCUGUUGAUUAGCAUUAGCAUUUCCAUUAGCUUUUCUGAAUCCGAUUCAGGUUCUUUCCAUGUUGAUCUAUACACCAAUGUAGGUGAAUUUAGAUCUUUAUUUAUGAUAGAUGUUUAAAUCCUUCUUGUCACUCCGAAAAGUAACAUGUCGGUUCUAAUAUCGUAGUCGAACACUUAGAAAUCUGAACACAUAAAGUUUCCAGAUCCGGUCGGCAAUAGACCAUAGAUCCAAUCAAAUAAUAGCAUAUAAGGUAUCUCUAUAGCUAUAACAUAAAUCAUUUAGCAUAUAAAAGCAAUUUAGGCAUCUUUCCUAAAAUAAGCUAGUGCUUGUGUCUAAAAUAUAGCAGACACUUACCUCACAAUCAUUGCUUAGCAUUCUAAGUUUAAGUCUUGAAAUCCUACAAAUUCCUAGUUCUUUUAAACUAAUGCCCUGAUAUCAACUGUGACAUCCCCAAUUUCACGGUCAGAAAAGACCGAUUUGUUUAUGAUUUAUUUGAAAAUCAGAGUAUACUUUUAAAGAAAUAUGUUGCGGAAUUUGUUCCCAAAAAUAUGAUAAGUAAAUUAUUAAAGCAUUACCAAAAGAAUGUGUUUUCAUUAUAUUAAAAACACUGGGAUGUCAUAGUCAAUACAAUACAUAAGCAUAAACCGAAAUAGUACAGGCCUUACGACAUCUACUAUUCUAAUAGCUUAUAAUCCAUAGAUCUCUCAUCAGAGCAACACUUAUGUGCUCUUUUUCCACUACCUAUAAUGCAAGAAACUGAGUGGGUCAUGCUUGGGAGCCUGGUGAGCACAUAGGAUUUUCAGCCCACAAUAAUUAAGUUUUUUAAUUCAUCAAAUCGUUCAACCCGAUUACUCGUUCCCGUUAUCCUCACUUUCUGUCUCUAAAGCAUCUAAUCCAAGGGACCUAGCAUAUGGAUCAUCAUCGGGAUGACAAUACUGCUUAGGGGAUUCCUCAACAAUAUGUGUCAGUAAGGCAACCAUGAGGGGGAUGGAGUACACCGGUGAACACAUCGUUCACAAACACCUACAAGUUGCGAGCUUACCAGCGUUCCACUAGAUUGUCUACAAUAGUCCAUGGUCAUCAUCUAUACUCCACUAGAUUGCUAAAUCAGCUUAAACAUCGAGGCCUCUCAUCAUUUUAUUUCAUCGCUCAUCAUCUAUUUCAUCUACCCAUCUUUCCUAACAUAAUGAUAGGUAUAAAAUACAUAUACAAAUUAAAUCAAGUAAAAACAUGUAUACAUCGUUCAUCCAUCAUAGAUAUCAAGAACACAGAUAAUACGCACAUAUAACACGUAAUUUAUAUAAAAUACUUCAUAUCUGUGUAUAAGAUGAAAGUAACUAUUGUUAAAGUGAUGACUCCAAACUCGGACAACGUUUCGCUUCUAACAAUCUUAAUUUUCUUCUACAAAACCUAGGAUCAUUAUCACUAUAUCUUAGUCUACUAUUCAUUGCGACUAAUUAUUAGUCUAGAUAAUAUUGUUUUUCUUGUAUUAUAUAUAUAUAUAUAUAUAUAUAUACACACACUCACACAAACUUUAUAUAAAAGUCUAUCAUUUAUAUAAAGUGAUUCAUUAUAUAAAUAACAUAUAAGUAGCCUUAUAUGUAUAAUUGUCUCUUUUAUAUAAAUUACAUUUUAUAUAUAAAUAAACUCUAACUAGUUUAUAAAGAUAUAAAUAUAACUUAUAAAUAAUCAUAUUUUUUGAUAUAUUUCAUAAGUUGUUAUUUCUCCAAUAAAUAUUAUUUUCAUAAAUAAUAAAUUCUCAAUUAGUAAAAUAUUAUUUCCAUGAAAUAAUUUUCCAAUUUAAAUACUAGUGUUGAUAUAUUUAUUAAUAAUAAAAUUAUACUAAUAAAUAAUCAAUCGAUCGUAACUUGUUAUAGGGUGUGACCAUAUAUGAUCAUAUGUUAUCAUCAAUAUCAUUCUAUAAUGACUCUUGGACAUACAAGCUCUUUCAAAUCUUAUCUACGAGAGAAAAAGUUUCUUGAUAAUCAACUUCUUCUCUCUGAUUAUAAGUGCUAUAAUUGAGUAUAAUUUUUCAAAGUACAAUGUCCUAAUAAGAAAAUAUUGAAUGUAUGAUAUUGCAUUUGUGUAGAUUUUAAUUAAUUAAAUAGGUUAUUUGUUACCCGAUUUCAUUAAAAAAACUGUUUAGUUCAUCCCCAUUUGGAUAGAAGCAUCCAGGUAGGGUUAGAAUUAAAUAAUGAGUGUUGAUGUGGUUUUAGUUCAUCCCAUCUUUGGUUUCACCGACAAGUUCAUCUUGAAAACUUCCUCCUAAUCUAAUCUUUAACAGUGAAAAGGUUGCAUAAAAAAGUUUGACUUUGGGGUCAAAGGACCUGGUUUCUCCUUAAAAGAUUAUUAGAAUUUUUUUGUUGUAGUUUAUCAGUUACGAAUUACGUUUAAUGAUAUAGAGAUUGCUAGCAAACUAAAACACUUUUAGAGCCAAAUAACUAGAGAUUUAUAUCAUCUUCUAAUUUGAAAAUUACUAGGUCUGACACUACUAGAAACUUGACCUUCAGUGACGGAAGUAGAGAUAGAUUCUAUCUGUAGCAAAUCAGCGACGACUUACCGAUGGAUCAGCGACGGAACUCACUAAUAUUUCGACCAAAAUAUUUAUAGACUUUUAGAGAGGUAUUACCAAUAGAUCAAUGACUGAUUUGUAAGAAUUUAGCGACAAAAAAUGUUUCCUCACUAAUCUGUUGCAAAUUAAAACCUCCUUGCUAGGGAACAACGACGGAUUACUAAAAUCACACACCUUUUUUUGGGCCUUCGCUAAUCUCUUUCAGAAAAUCAACAAAUCUUUUUUUCAUUCCCUGCUUUUCUUUCUUGUUACGUUCCCUCCUUUUAUUUUCAUUUCCGCUUUUCAUUUUUUUUUGUUUUAAUUCCUUCUAUCUUCUUCCCAAAGCUCUAAACAAUUUCAUCCCAAAUCCAUAAUUUAAUCUCUGUCCACUGAAAUCCCUCCUCUACCCAAAAAAUCACCUCCACCACCUUCCACCUACAUCGACCCUAUUUGAAGACCUCAAAAAUCAAAUCAUUGUUGGAUUUCCUCUUUGUCUAUCUGCCUUUCUCGUUGAUUCACUUUUCCCCUGUUAAUGUCAUUCGAUCUGAUGGUUUAUCCUCGAUCGUAAACACGAGUAAAUCUCAUGUAGUCUUCAUCAACUUCUAAUUUUGGUUUCUAGUAGUGUGUAUGUUCCAUUUCCAUGUAGCUCUUACUUCUCUUUCACUUUUUAGUUCAAUUCACAAGUUGUUUUUCUAAGCCUUACUUUC